GCAUUAGUGACAGAAGAACUUCACAAACAAUUGAAUGAUGCCACCCUUUCAUCACCAGAAAAGCACUUCAUUUCAACAUAGUUUCAUCUUGUUCAUCCAACUUGUAAAGUCUCAGUGAAGCUUUUGGAAGUUCUUUCUGUCUAAGUGGACGGACAUGUGGAGGUGGCCGACAAGGAAGGAAGCACACGGUGUUAACUUCUUCGUCAAGAGACACAAGAAAGAAAAUUGAAAUUGAAAUUAAUACCCUAAUGUAGAAGCAUGAUGAACUGCCUGUCGGAAGCAAAGGAAAUGAUGCUUCAUUUAGCCAUUCUUAAGAUCCAGCUUUUGAAACAAAGGUCAGCUUGGCUACUCAAACCACGUCUGAAACCCCACUGAAAAAAAUAAGCUGAAGACAAUAUCAGAUGACGUUUUUAAACUGCAAAAUACACAGGUAUUUUACGCAAAAUACACAAAUUCCAAAUUCUAACAAUAAAACACUGAAAUGAAGAAACAUAUUUCAAAGAAACUCCAGUAUAUUUACAUUUUCUAUGUUUGACUACAAUCUACUCCCUUUCAAAGUUUUCCAUGGAAGACUGAAUUGAGCACAUUUUUAAAGGAG
rnacentral:lncRNA from 1 species